GGAUUGAAAUCGGAUGAGAAUGAGGAGCUCUGUUGAAAGUCCCGAGUAGUAACUCAGGAAAGCGACAAUGGGACUUACUGACUGAUUGACAAUGACAGGCCCCUGGCCUCAGGUUCCUGCCUCAUGCUGAUGACUUUGGGAUUGAGUGGGACAGUUGGAGGGUUGCCUUCAGGAAGAGAAAUGAUGCUGGCCUGGCUUUUGAGCUCCUUAUGAAACACAGCAGUGAACCAGUCUAGGAAACCGCACUGUGUUCCACCAGACUGAACAAGCAGAAAGGGCCUUGGACCCGCCUCCCCGGCACACCCGUGGGAUGGCUGUCUACAUCUGCAUGCAAAUGAUUCUGAUACGUUCUGACAAAUAAUAUUUACAUUUGGAAUCCAGCUGUCAAGAGAGAACAGCUGCCAUCAGGUGCUUAAGGCACCUCUAAGGCAUGUUUUCAGAUUUUAAAAAAAACCACGUGAGCCCACACUGUUUAAACUGUAUCCCCACGGAAGUUGCAAACUGAAGCUUCUUUGUUCCUGCCAAAUGACUCAUGGACGCCCUUUAAAAGAGAACGAAACAGACGUGUUUUGAUGGGGAAAAUACAUAAAAAAUGCAGUGCAUUUUUCCAAGCAGCCAUCAGACCAUCUAAUUCAGGCCAACGAGGGCAAAGCUGCGAAGCUCUUCGGCUGACCUUCUCCAUGAGGACCUUGUCCCAGACAGGGGCCCCCUGGAAAGGGACGUACUGACCAAGGCAGGAAAGAGAAGGCCAAUUUUCCCAAGACGAUUAAUCUUACUGAGGUUCCAUUUGAAAACAGCCUUCGUGUUCUUCUAGUAUGUUGUUUUUCU
rnacentral:lncRNA from 1 species